UUUCCGUAGGUGAACCUGCGGAAGGAUCAUUACUGAGAUGGGGUCCCUCGGGGCCCGACCUCCAACCCUUUGUGAAUCGUACUCGUUGCUUCGGGGGCGACCCUGCCGUCCGCGGCUGAGCGCCCCCGGGGUCAAUCAAACACUGCAUUCUCUGCGUCGGAGUAUUAGUAAAUCUAAUCAAAACUUUCAACAACGGAUCUCUUGGUUCUGGCAUCGAUGAAGAACGCAGC
rnacentral:misc_RNA from 1 species